rnacentral:rRNA from 1 species
UACGAAGGGUGCUAGCGUUGUUCGGAAUCACUGGGCGUAAAGCGCACGCAGGCGGAUCGAUAAGUCGGGGGUGAAAGCCCGGGGCUCAACCUCGGAAUUGCCUUCGAUACUGUCGGUCUCGAGUCCGGGAGAGGUGAGUGGAAUUACUAGUGUAGAGGUGAAAUUCGUAGAUAUUAGGAAGAACACCAGUGGCGAAGGCGGCUCACUGGCCCGGUAAUGACGCUCAGGUGCGAAAGCGUGGGGAGCAAACAGG